UACGAAGGGGGCUAGCGUUGCUCGGAAUCACUGGGCGUAAAGGGUGCGUAGGCGGGUCUUUAAGUCAGGGGUGAAAUCCUGGAGCUCAACUCCAGAACUGCCUUUGAUACUGAAGAUCUUGAGUUCGGGAGAGGUGAGUGGAACUGCGAGUGUAGAGGUGAAAUUCGUAGAUAUUCGGAAGAACACCAGUGGCGAAGGCGGCUCACUGGCUCAUACUGGACGCUGAGGUGCGAAAGCGUGGGGAGCAAACAGG
rnacentral:rRNA from 1 species